rnacentral:rRNA from 1 species
AUUGAACGCUGGCGGCGUGCUUAACACAUGCAAGUCGAGCGGAAAGGCCCUUUCGGGGGUACUCGAGCGGCGAACGGGUGAGUAACACGUGAGUAAUCUGCCCUUGGCUUUGGGAUAACCACCGGAAACGGUGGCUAAUACCGGAUACGACCAACCCUGGCAUCGGGUGUUGGUGGAAAGUUUUUUCGGCCAGGGAUGUGCUCGCGGCCUAUCAGCUUGUUGGUGGGGUAAUGGCCUACCAAGGAUUCGACGGGUAGCAGGCCUGCGGGGGUGGCCGGCCGCACUGGGACUGAGGCACGGCCCAGACUCCAACGGGGGGCAGCAGUGGGGAAUAUUGGACAAUGGGCGGAAGCCUGAUCCAGCAACGCCGCGUGAGGGAUGACGGCCUUCGGGUUGUAAACCUCUUUCAGUACCGACGAAGCGCCGAUGAAGGUGGUGACGGUAGGUACAGAAGAAGCACCGGCCAACUACGUGCCAGCAGCCGCCGUAAGAC